GGGGUUGUGGCUCAGUGGUAGAGCACUUGCCUAGCAUAUGUAAGCACUGGGUUCAAUUCUCAACACCA
rnacentral:tRNA from 1 species